rnacentral:rRNA from 1 species
CAGCCGCCACGGGAAUACGGAGGGUGCAAGCGUUAAUCGGAAUUACUGGGCGUAAAGCGCACGCAGGCGGUCUGUCAAGUCGGAUGUGAAAUCCCCGGGCUCAACCUGGGAACUGCAUUCGAAACUGGCAGGCUAGAGUCUUGUAGAGGGGGGUAGAAUUCCAGGUGUAGCGGUGAAAUGCGUAGAGAUCUGGAGGAAUACCGGUGGCGAAGGCGGCCACCUGGACAAAGACUGACGCUCAGGUGCGAAAGCGUGGGGAGCAAACAGGAUUAGAUACCCGAGUAGUCCCUGUCUCUUAUAC